rnacentral:rRNA from 1 species
UACAGAGGGGGCAAGCGUUAUUCGGAAUUAUUGGGCGUAAAGGGCGCGUAGGCGGCAUUGCAAGUGGAAGGUGAAAUCCCUCGGCUUAACCGAGGAACUGCCCUCCAAACUGCGUUGCUUGAGUCCGGAAGAGGUGAGUGGAACUCCGAGUGUAGAGGUGAAAUUCGUAGAUAUUCGGAAGAACACCAGUGGCGAAGGCGGCUCACUGGUCCGGUACUGACGCUGAGGUGCGAAAAGCGUGGGGAGCAAACAGGG